UCGGGAAUAUUGCGGCAAUGGAGGAAACUCUGACGCAGUGACGCCGCGUGCAGGAAGAAGGUUUUCGGAUUGUAAACUGCUUUAGACAGGGAAGAAAAAAGACAGUACCUGUAGAAUAAGCUCCGGCUAACUACGUGCCAGCAGCCGCGGUAAUACGUAGGGAGCGAGCGUUAUCCGGAUUUAUUGGGUGUAAAGGGUGCGUAGACGGGAAAUUAAGUUAGUUGUGAAAUCCCUCGGCUCAACUGAGGAACUGCAACUAAAACUGAUUUUCUUGAGUACUGGAGAGGAAAGUGGAAUUCCUAGUGUAGCGGUGAAAUGCGUAGAUAUUAGGAGGA
rnacentral:rRNA from 1 species